rnacentral:rRNA from 1 species
UACGUAGGGGGCAAGCGUUGUCCGGAUUUAUUGGGCGUAAAGCGCUCGCAGGCGGCUCGAUGCGUCGUGCGUGAAACACCCCGGCUCAACUGGGGAGGGUCGUGCGAUAUGGUCGGGCUGGAGGCCAGUAGGGGGAUGCGGAAUUCCGGGUGUAGUGGUGGAAUGCGUAGAGAUCCGGAGGAACACCAGCGGCGAAGGCGGCAUCCUGGACUGGUCCUGACGCUCAGGAGCGAAAGCGUGGGGAGCGAUCCGG